rnacentral:pre_miRNA from 1 species
UAAACACUACCUACAUCCAGUAUGUUACUUGACUCCCAAUACGGAUGUGGAGGGCGUUUACA